UGCCUUCCCUCAUCUCCUCGGAGAUGGCGGACAACUGCUCGGUGCUCGACCCGUGGAUGUACCGCUUCGAGUCGGCGUGGAUCAACGAGGCCUUCGCCCGCGACAACGACGCGCUCACCCGAGCCCUCCGGACUUCCAUCUCGGACACCUCUUCCUCUGGCGCAGGCGCGCCCUCCGCUUCCCCCGACACCCCUUCCGCCGCCACCUCCCCCAACCCCCUCCUCCUCAGCCGCCGGCACCAGCUCGCUCCCCGGAACCCUCUGGGCGCCGCUCCCGCGGGGCGGGUCUCGAAGCGGAAGUCGCGCUCGUCAAAGCGGUCGCCCACCACCUACAUCAACGCCGACCCCGCCCACUUCCGGGAGAUGGUGCAGCGCAUCACGGGGGUCCGGC
rnacentral:lncRNA from 1 species